AUGCCCUUUUUAAGUGUUCCCAGAGGAGUCUGUACAUGUAAGACUCUGGGAGGAUUAUUUCAGAUAUGUUUGGGAUUCAGUGUUUUGAUCUAUUUGUGUACUUUUUGCAUUCUCUUUCUAAUGUUGUCCAUAACUCACAUUUUUAAAAAAAAAGGCCUAAUUGUGACACAUGGUGUGUUAUGGAUUGACAUUUUCCCUCUCUUCAUUCAGAAUGGUGCUGAUCACAGCGACAAAGUGGAAAAACCCACAGAGGAGAAAAACGGAGAUGGGAAAGCAGAGGAGGCGCCCCCUGCUGAGGAGACUGAAGCACAGCCUGUGAAGCGUGCAGCUGAAGAGGAAGAGGAGAAGGUGGAGACAAAAAAGCAGAAGACAGAGGAAAAUGGAGAUUCAAAAGAGGCAGAAGUGGAGGCUUAA
rnacentral:lncRNA from 15 species